UAAAGAAAGCGUAAUAGCUCACUGGUCGAGUCGGCCUGCGCGGAAGAUGUAACGGGGCUAAACCAUGCACCGAAGCUGCGGCAGCGACACUGUGUGUUGUUGGGUAGGGGAGCGUUCUGUAAGCCUGCGAAGGUGGCCUGUGAGGGUUGCUGGAGGUAUCAGAAGUGCGAAUGCUGACAUAAGUAACGAUAAAGCGGGUGAAAAGCCCGCUCGCCGGAAGACCAAGGGUUCCUGUCCAACGUUAAUCGGGGCAGGGUGAGUCGACCCCUAAGGC
rnacentral:rRNA from 3 species